UUGGGGGGAUUUACCCCUUAGUGGCGAAGCUAACGCGUUAAGUUAUCCGCCUGGGGAGUACGGCCGCAAGGUUAAAACUCAAAGGAAUUGACGGGGACCCGCACAAGCGGUGGAGCAUGUGGUUUAAUUCGAUGCAACGCGAAGAACCUUACCUGGUCUUGACAUCCUGAGAACUUUCUAGAAAUAGAUUGGUACCUUCGGGAACUCAGUGACAGGUGCUGCAUGGCUGUCGUCAGCUCGUGUCGUGAGAUGUUGGGUUAAGUCCCGUAACGAGCGCAACCCCUAUCCUUAUUUGCCAGCACAUCAUGGUGGGAACUAUAAGGAGACUGCCGGUGAUAAACCGGAGGAAGGCGGGGACGACGUCAAGUCAUCAUGGCCCUUACGACCAGGGCUACACACGUGCUACAAUGGGAAGGACAAAGAGCCGCGAAGCCGCGAGGUGUAGCUAAUCUCAGAAACCUUUUCGUAGUCCGGAUUGGAGUCUGCAACUCGACUCCAUGAAGUCGGAAUCGCUAGUAAUCGUAGAUCAGAAUGCUACGGUGAAUACGUUCCCGGGUCUUGUACACACCGCCCGUCAUACCAUGGGAGUGGGUUGCACCAGAAGUGGCUAGUCUAACUUUAUUGAGGACGGUCACCACGGUGUGAUUCAUGACUGGGGUA
rnacentral:rRNA from 1 species